rnacentral:lncRNA from 1 species
UCCGGAGAGGAGGCUGAGGAGCGUGGUCUUCCCACUGCCGGAAGGACCCAUCAAGGCCAAGAGUUCUCCCGGUUUGGCUGAACCUGUGAUGCCUUGGAGGAUAUCUUUCUCGUUGGUUCUCGUAAUUCCUCUGAGGAUUACCUUGUAUCUGACCUCUGUAAACUGCAGAAUUCACAGCAUGAACUGCGGGAUUAGAUGAAGAAGAACUGUUUCUCUUCAGGACAGCAGGAAAUCCAAGUGCUACCUUCACAUAUAUGGGAUAAGUUGUCUCUGACAUCAGCCUUUUUCGAGAUCUUCCAGGCUCGAGAUCAAUUCCUGCGGGCAAGCAUAUCACGAGCAUCGACAUCUGCCUUACACUGACAUCUACCAACUUUUUUGCGAGGAGCAGAUGUUGUUGUUACCUUU